ACGGAAGGCAGCAGUGGGGAAUAUUGGGCAAUGGGCGCAAGCCUGACCCAGCAACGCCGCGUGAAGGAUGAAGGUCUUCGGAUUGUAAACUUCUUUGAUCAGGGACGAAUUUUAACGGUACCUGAAGAACAAGUCACGGCUAACUACGUGCCAGCAGCCGCGGUAAUACGUAGGUGACACGCGUUAUCCGGAUUUACUGGGUGUAAAGGGCGUGUAGGCGGUUUGCCAAGUCAGAAGUGAAAUUCCCGGGCUUAACUUAGGAGCUGCUUCUGAAACUGCUAAUCUUGAGUACUGGAGAGGAUAGUGGAAUUCCUAGUGUAGCGGUAAAAUGCGCAGAUAUUAGGAGGAACACCGGUGGCGAAGGCGGCUAUCUGGACAGUAACUGACGCUGAGGCUCGAAAGCGUGGGGAGCAAACAGGAUUAGAUACCCUGGUA
rnacentral:rRNA from 1 species